AUUGAACGCUGGCGGCAUGCCUUACACAUGCAAGUCGAACGGUAACAGGUUAAGCUGACGAGUGGCGAACGGGUGAGUAAUAUAUCGGAACGUGCCGAGUAGUGGGGGAUAACGCAUCGAAAGGUGUGCUAAUACCGCAUACGUACUGAGGUAGAAAGUGGGGGACCUUCGGGCCUCACGCUAUUCGAGCGGCCGACGUCUGAUUAGCUAGUUGGUGAGGUAAAGGCUCACCAAGGCGACGAUCAGUAGCGGGUCUGAGAGGAUGAUCCGCCACACUGGGACUGAGACACGGCCCAGACUCCUACGGGAGGCAGCAGUGGGGAAUUUUGGACAAGGGGCGCAAGCCUGAUCCAGCCAUGCCGCGUGUCUGAAGAAGGCCUUCGGGUUGUAAAGGACUUUUGUCCGGGAGCAAAUGCCUGGUGUUAAUAGCACUGGGAGCUGAGAGUACCGGAAGAAUAAGCACCGGCUAACUACGUGCCAGCCGCCGCGGUAAGAC
rnacentral:rRNA from 1 species